rnacentral:rRNA from 1 species
UACGUAGGGGGCAAGCGUUGUCCGGAUUUAUUGGGCGUAAAGAGCGUGUAGGCGGCCAGGCAGGUCCGCUGUGAAAACUCGAGGCUCAACCUCGAGAGGUCGGUGGAAACCGUCUGGCUAGAGUCCGGAAGAGGAGAGUGGAAUUCCUGGUGUAGCGGUGAAAUGCGCAGAUAUCAGGAAGAACACCCGUGGCUAAGGCGGCUCUCUAGUACGGUACUGACGCUGAGACGCGAAAGCGUGGGGAGCGAACAGG